AUGCAGGCAGUACAGACCCGUAAUCUUCGGGAAACCCAGCUAGGAGGAGUGAUCUUUGGUUGCAAGCAUGAGACAAUUGAAGAGUGCUUCAAUAAACAGCUGUUUGGUCUGCCUGCGUUGCAUUAUUCAUAUGUGAGGAAUGUCAAAGCUGGCCUACCUUUAUUUCUAUUCAACUACACUGACAGAAAGCUGCAUGGUGUUUUUGAGGCUGCCAGUCCUGGUCAGAACUCCAUUGACCCAUAUGCUUGGAGUAAUGAUGGCACUUUAAGGACACCUUUUCCUGCACAGGUUCGCAUUUGCACAAGGACUCGCUAUCAGCCACUCUUUGAGGUCCAAUACAAAAAAGUGAUUCAAGAUAAUUAUUAUACACAUCACUACUUCUAUUUUGAGCUAGACCAUGCACAAACUAGAGCUUUAAUUGCUUUGUUCAAGUCAGUUGGUCCUCUCAAUUUCAAGCAAGUCCCAGCUGUUUCAAGCAAAAGGAGUCUGCCUGUACCUUUACCAUCAACUAACAGGAUGUCAUCAGGUAUUCCUGUCCAAAAGAAAGGCACAGCCAAUUUGAAGGACAUCAAUCCAUCUAGUGUUCUAUCAACUUCUUUACCAUCAACUAAAAGGGUGGCAUCAGUUACCCCGCACCAAAAGAAAGGCAGAGCCAAUUCAAAGGACAUCAACCCGUUUAGUGUUCUUUCAAGUUCAAGUGGAAUUGUUCCAGAUGACUGGGUUGAUUCUGAUGUGGAUAGUGGCAGUGUUACUGGAACAUCAGACAGCAAAACUGAUGGGAAGACAUCUGGAGAGCUAGUUUCUGACUGGGAGGAUUUGGAUGACAAUGAUUUUCAGAACCAGUUUGGUCCAGAUGAGGCCAGUCAACAUUCCUCGUACAAAAGUGUUGCUGACGGAAUGGAGCUUAUGCAGUGCAAUGAACCGGUUGCCAAUCCUGUGAAUGGAGGAAGUCAUUCUUCUAAUGGAGACAUGCUUGUGAACUCACACAAUGGAAUAGGCAAUGGGCUUCAAAAUGAAUCAGAUGGUGUUGGGGUACAGCUUGAAAGAUCGUCUAUCCUGAAAAAACUGAAGGAGUUGGUUGACUUAAGACAGCAGGCAGCACUAUCAUCCCAUGAUUUUGUUUAUUCUAGUCCAGAUGUGUAUGUACCUGAAGAAACACAGGUUAAUGCGAACCUUUCUGGUCAGGAUGAGUAUGUAUCUGAAAAAACACAGAUCAGUGCAAACCUUUCUAGCCAAGAUGAGUAUGUACCUGAAGAAACACGGGUCAACACAAGCCUUCCUAGUCAAGAUGAAUAUGUUGCUGAAGAAAUACAGGUCAAUGCAAAACUUUCUAGUCAAGAUGAAUAUGUACCUGAAGAAACACAGGUCAAUGGAAGCUUUCCUUGCCAAGAUCAAAAGGUUGCUGAAGAAACACAUGUGAAUGUAGACCUUCCUAUUCAAGAUCAAUAUGUACCUGAAGAAGCACAGGCCAAUGCAAGCCUUUCUACUCCCAGCCAUCAUGUACCUGAAGAAACACAGGCCAAUUCAAGCCUUUCCAACAAGCCAUUAUGUUCUACCGUGGAAGAUAAUUCAUCUUUUGAGCAACAUCAAGCAAAGGCUGAGCUUCUACGAAUCAUCACUGACUUGGCCAAGAAGGCUGAUGCACUGGAGAAGAAUCAGAUUAAAUCAGAUCAAGAAAUCAUUUCGUUGAAGGAAGUAGUUAAAGACUCUGGAAGAAAAGUUCAGCAACUGGAAUAUCGCAUAGAUGAGUUACAAUUCAAAUUUGACUCCUCCUUGUCUCUUCAAGGAAGCAUGUGCGAUAAUCUGGACAUGCCAGCAAUAUUCCUGAUCGGUGGUUAUAAUGGUGUGACCUGGUUAUCAUCUCUUGAUUCCUUCUCUCCAAAAAAAGACAUCCUUGUGUCUCUCACAUCGAUGGGCUCUGCGCGUUCAUAUGCAUCUGUUGCCGCAAUGGAAGGCUGUAUAUUUGUUUUUGGUGGUGGGGAUGGAAGUUCAUGGUAUAACACAGCGGAAUGCUAUAAUACAAGGAGUAAUGAGUGGAUGAUAUGCCCCUGUUUGAACCAUGAGAAAGGAUCUCUUGCUGGAGUAAGUCUUAAUGGCAAAAUAUAUGCGAUGGGUGGAGGAGAUGGAACACAAACUUUUUCAGAAGUUGAGAUGUUUGAUCCUUUUCUUGGGAAGUGGAUAUGUAGUCCGUCUAUGCUGCAACCAAGAUUUGCUCUAGCAGCAGCAGAAUCGAGUGGUGUCAUCUAUGCAUCUGGUGGAUUCGAUGGUAGCAAGUAUUUACAGUCAGCAGAAAGGUAUGAUCCAAGGGAGGGUUUCUGGGUUAAGCUCCCAAGCAUGAAAGCAAGGAGAGGAUGUCAUGCUGUAGCUGUCCUGGGAGAAGUCCUAUAUGCUAUUGGAGGGUAUGAUGGGGACAGCAUGGUUUCCAGUGUUGAGAUCUUUGAUCCUCGCCUCAACGCCUGGGGGAUGGGUGAUCCCAUGAGCAACCCAAGAGGAUACGCCUCUGCGGUUACUUUUGAUGAUAGCUUGUUUGUCCUCGGCGGUCUGCGGUCCAACGAACAGAUACUGGACACUGUGGAAGUCUACAAUGUGAACUCCGGCUGGUCAGUGCCAGGUUUCAAUUCAAUAGGGAAGAGAUCUUUUGCAUCUGCCAUUGUCAUGUGA
rnacentral:rRNA from 1 species